UACGUAGGGUGCGAGCGUUAAUCGGAAUUACUGGGCGUAAAGCGUGCGCAGGCGGCUUUGCAAGACAGAGGUGAAAUCCCCGGGCUCAACCUGGGAACUGCCUUUGUGACUGCAAGGCUAGAGUACGGCAGAGGGGGAUGGAAUUCCGCGUGUAGCAGUGAAAUGCGUAGAUAUGCGGAGGAACACCGAUGGCGAAGGCAAUCCCCUGGGCCUGUACUGACGCUCAUGCACGAAAGCGUGGGGAGCAAACAGGAU
rnacentral:rRNA from 1 species